UUUCAGGUUUUAUGCAUGGCUGUGUUUGCGAUAAGCCUUUGGGUUAUUGCAUCGCCUGAAAGUCUCGUUCAGACCAUACAACUGUUUGGAAAUUCUACACUAAAUCUGCUCGUGAUGGAUGCAUCAGUUCAAGUUGGAAUAUCUGGAGCUCUGAUUAGUGGUUUAAUUUUCUUCAUAUCAGCCAUGGGUCUUUAUGGGGCAGUUACUGGAUCUCAGUUCUUGCUGUUUAUGUACGGGACACUGGUGAUACUUAUGAUGCUUCUGGAGUGCGCCCUUCUGUACUAUUUUUCUUCGAAUAUAACUGAG